UACAGAGGUCUCAAGCGUUGUUCGGAUUCAUUGGGCGUAAAGGGUGCGUAGGCGGCGCGGUAAGUCGGGUGUGAAAUCUUGGAGCUUAACUCCGAAACUGCAUUCGAUACUGCCGUGCUUGAGGACUGGAGAGGAGACUGGAAUUUACGGUGUAGCGGUGAAAUGCGUAGAUAUCGUAAGGAAGACCAGUGGCGAAGGCGGGUCUCUGGACCGAGACUGACGCUGAGGCGCGAAAGCGUGGGGAGCAAACAGG
rnacentral:rRNA from 1 species